rnacentral:tRNA from 1 species
GGUGAUGUAGCUCAAGUGGUAGGGUGAUUGUCUAGCAAUUACAAAAUCUUGGUUCAAAUCCCAGUACCACCA